GUGUGUGAUCCUACCGCACCCUGUCAAAAGUUGACUUGAGGGGUCCGCGGGGAAGGGGAUCUCCUUUACCACACAAUUUCCGAAAGGGAACAUGCUGGCAACACAGCACAAAGCCUGGUUGAACCCUCCUCUGCUCAGGAGCUGCUGAGUUCAUGUCUUAAGCUUCUCCAGUUCUUUCGAACGGUACAAAACAGAGAGCUUUGGGCAAAGCACUUUUGAGUGCCCCAGUUGGCUACAGCAAGACCCCAGAGCACGUAGGAGGAGGGGUACACCCAGUGGGACAUGGAACACCCCUCAUUUGAGGGAUGUUCCCAUGAAAUCUUCAGAGCUUGAAAAUUACAGGCCGGCUGGGUCACUCGAGACCAGUUGUUUUGCUCCCUUUUAGUUUAGCUUUCCCUUUAAGGAGGCAGAUCUGGCCAUUGUUUUCAAUAUCGUGUUGUUUUUAUUUUCAGAGUCUGCUUUAUUGGAUCAGGGCAAAGUCAAACAGGGUCCACCCUGCCUGGCAAAGCCACCUGCCAUGUGCCUUUCUAGGGUGUUGUCUCCAGCCAGCAGGAGGCCUGCCUUUCUCCCACCAUCCCAUUACACAGCUACACUAAAUCCUGGCUGCCUGAAUUGUUUUCUGCUGGGCAGCUAUUAUUACACCACCAAGGAAGACAAGAAAGGAAAAAUGGACGAAAAGAAAAGAACCCAGAAGUUCCUUCUAAAGGCAGUGGGUUUUUCAUUGUAGUGGUCUCUUCAUCUGAUUGGCUAGAUCUGCUUUCCUAAACAACAAUCAUUGCUAUGUCUUCAUUCCUUGGUUGAAAACCCUGAAAGAGAGGAAGAGGUAAGUUUCUCACAAAACAAAUCGGCAAAUGUGCCUGCGCAUUUUGCCUCAUAUCUUGUGUUCUACAAGGACUAAAAUCUUCCUGCUUGCCUGCUUUGGAAUACAGAGCACUAGCAGCUCUCCUGGCAAACACCCUUGGUACCACAAGUUGUCAGUUCCCAACAUUUCUUUGGAGGGGAAGCCAUUACAGUUAAACUGAAAUUGCAGCUACACUUCAGGGUGGUUUGUGGGCCUUCAUGACUUGAGAUAGAAGGGAAGGCGAAUCUGACAAUGGUUUGGAAUCUUAUUAACAUUAACGGAAUCUUCAGAACAGGUGGGCAGAGGCAGUUCUGCCACCCUCAAACAUAGCAAAAUUUUACAUUUCUUGUUGUCACCUGCUCCUAAACCCUAAAUAGUGUGUGAAAGAGGACAGGAUUCUUGGAAGUGUGAGGUCAACCAGCUGUACGCUUGACCCUUGCCCUUCCUGGCUUAUUAAGUAGUCAGAGUAUCAUGUGUCAAGUGCAUUGUAGUCAGAAACAGUCUGUCUGGGUGGGUGAGGAUAGUGGUCAGUGAAUGCGUCAGUGGGACCUGAUAACACAAGUGCCGUGGGUCCGAGCAAGAAUUCCCCAAAGCUACCUUCUGUAUGGACCCUGAAAAUGGAAGCAAAACUAUCACAUCACCAUGCUCCUAAGUCACAGUGGAGUUAAAGCUGGGUUUGAAACUGAUUGUAUUUCUCUCUUUCUCUCUCUCUCUCUCUCUCUGUAUAGUUCACAUGACAUCCUCCUCAUCUAAGUGGCAGCCCACACUUUCCCCAGCCUAAAUUCAGAUUUUACCAAUCAGUGCAUAAUCUGAUAUGGGAAGAAACUCCAAUAUAAAAUUGCAUGUUGCUGUGGACGUACAGACGCCCAAUGUACGGGUGGUGGUCGUUUCUUUAAUAGUGUGAGGACAUUUCACUGGGUUCUGUCUGUCACCAGACCACCUGCUUCCAUUUUGUUCCCACCAGCACAAAGGAAAAGAUAAAGCCUGAUUUUUCUUGCUGGUUCUUGAAUAUACAGGCAAACCCCCCCCCCAUUUGCACGAUUUCAAUAUGCAUGUGACUCUGCGCACGUGCAUCGUGCUGAACCCAGAAGUGACCCAAAAGUAUCACAAAAAGGGUCACAAUGGGGCAGAGGCGGAACAGAGUGUUUGCAGGCUUUUUCAAUAGCGUUUCAAAUAUAUGCGAUUUCACUGAUACAUGUGGUGCCUUGGAACGUAACCCCCACAUAAAUGGGGGGUCGCAUAUGUGUGUGUGUUUAAUUUUAAUAAAAUUAUUGUCUCCCCCC